rnacentral:rRNA from 1 species
CGCGAAUGGCUCAUUACAACAGCUAUAAUUCACUUGAUCUUGACACAAUCCUACUUGGAUAACUGUGGUAAUUCUAGAGCUAAUACAUGCAUUAAAGCUCUGACCUCACGGAAAGAGUGCAUUUAUUAGAACAAAACCAAGCGGCUUCGGCUGUUUUCGGUUGACUCAUAGUAACUGAGCUGAUCGCAUGGUCUUGCACCGGCGACGUGUCUUUCAAGUAUCUGCCGUAUCAACUUUCGAUGGUAGUGUAUCUGACUACCAUGGUGAUCACGCGUAACGGAGAAUAAGGGUUCGACUCCGGAGAGUUCGCCUGAGAAAUCGCGAACACAUCUAAGGAAGGCAGCAGGCGCGAAAAUUACCCACUCUCAGCACGAGGAGGUAGUGACGAAAAAUAACGAGGUGGCUCUCUAUGAGGUCCAUCAUCGGAAUGGGUACAAUUUAAAUCCUUUAACGAGGAUCUAUUGGAGGGCAAGUCUGGUGCCAGCAGCCGCGGUAAUUCCAGCU